CCCAAACCAUGAUUCCAUAUGUUCCAAAUUGGGCCUAAAAUAUUUUUAAAUUACAUUUUGUGCAUCUUCACUCGUUAUAAAUGGAGUUGGACUGGUACAACUUUUGCUGUUUUGAAUUAUUGCAAUUUGACUCUUCGACGAAACUGCAACUUUGUUCCCAAAGGCUGCAAGGCUGAGGAACCUGACUUACUAUGCACCAUUGUAUGUGGGUGUCACAAAACGUGUCAUAAAGAAAGGGCAUGACUGUGAAGAAGUCACAGAGACACAGGAGUUCACCAAAGUUUUCAUUGGGAAGGUUCCUAUAAUGCUGCGGUCUAGUUAUUUUACGUUGUACCAGAAUUCAGAAAAAGAUCUAACAGAACUCGGGGAAUGUCCAUAUCACCAAGGGCUCUUCAGGGCAGUAUAUUCGGGCUACUCUUCCUUACAUUCGGACAGAAAUGCCAAUAAUUAUUGUGUUUCGAGCAUUAGGAUUUGUUGCUGACAAGGAUAUAUUAGAGCAUAUAUGCUAUGACUUUUCUGAUACUCAGAUGAUGGAAUUAAUUCCAUCUAAUGCAAUUCCAUACCAUUUAAUCCCGUGGUCCAUACUCAGUUAUUUUUAAGUAUUCACUGCAUGUUUUGUUGGCCAGAUUGUAGUUCUGAUUGGAAAAGGUCCUAGUGGCCUGGAUAUCUGUAGAGAUAUUUCAAAAUUAGCUAAAGAAGUCCAUCUAACAUCAAGAUCCAUAGAUGUUGAAGUUGCGAAGUUGGAGGGCCAUGAUAAUAUUUGGCAGAAUCCGAUGGUAUGUUGACCCCUUUACUCUCACUACAUCCUGUAGUUCCCACUACAUAAUUCCUUGCAUUAAGGUGUCUGUGCACAUGUCUGUGCUAGAUUAUGGAUGUUGUAUCUAUCAGGGAAUGCUCAAAAUAAAAUGCUAGAUUAUGGGUUUUUUUUUCCCCUUUUAAACUCAUUUUUCUUUUCUUGUUUUGUUGGUGGCUGUGUUUCAAGAUUCAAGCAUUUGAAAUGAUGGCAAUUGCUAUGGUACGGAACAACCUCAUAUGUUUAUACUAAUAUGGAAUGGUUUAUUGGGUUUUGUUUAUGUUGAUUAAAUAAUAAUAUUCUGAUUUUUAUUAGCAAAGAUCGAAGUAUGAAAGAACUCUCAAGACAGAGAGCUAACAUUUCUGAAUUUUGCAACAAGGAGAUCAUCACUACAAGAAAUCGGCCCUUAGCCGACCGAUGGGCCAAC